GACGUAGGGUCCAAGCGUUGUCCGGAUUUACUGGGCGUAAAGAGCGCGUAGGCGGCUCGGUAAGUGUGAGCUAAAUCUCUGGGCUCAACCCAGAAACUAUUUCGCAUACUGCCAAGCUGGAGUGAUGAAGAGGUUUGUGGAAUUCCUGGUGUAGCGGUGAAAUGCGCAGAUAUCAGGAAGAACACCCGUGGCUAAGGCGGCUCUCUGGGACGGUACUGACGCUGAGACGCGAAAGCGUGGGGAGCGAACAGG
rnacentral:rRNA from 1 species